UACGUAGGGUGCGAGCGUUGUCCGGAAUUACUGGGCGUAAAGAGCUUGUAGGUGGUUUGUCGCGUUGUUCGUGAAAUCUCACGGCUUAACUGUGAGCGUGCGGGCGAUACGGGCAGACUAGAGUACUGCAGGGGAGACUGGAAUUCCUGGUGUAGCGGUGGAAUGCGCAGAUAUCAGGAGGAACACCGGUGGCGAAGGCGGGUCUCUGGGCAGUAACUGACGCUGGAGAAGCGAAAGCGUGGGGAGCGAACAGG
rnacentral:rRNA from 1 species